rnacentral:misc_RNA from 1 species
UCCAAAUAACUAGUAAAUUGUUGGCAGUUUUUUCAAUUUUUUGACUUGGUACAUUAUUUUUGCAAUAAUGCUUUAAUUACAAACAAAUCAAAUUAAAUAGAAAAUAGGGGUUGCGCUCGUUAAAGGAGCCAACCAAACAUCUCAAGACACGAGCUAACGACAGCCAUGCAGCACCUGCUCAGUAAUUUAAUUUACACUUCGUGUAAAUUAUACCGAAUGGAUUAAAUUGCUGAUUCAAAAAUUGGUAAGGUUUUGCGUGUUAUGUCGCAUUAAACCAGAUGCCCCACCGCUUGUUCAGACCUCCGUCAAUUCCUUAGAGUUUCAACCUUGCGACUUUACUAUCCAGGCGGAAUGUUUACGCGUUAGCUUAAGCAUCGAGUAAAAUUUACCCAACACUCAA